rnacentral:lncRNA from 1 species
UUUAAAUUAUGGAGUCUAUAUUUUGUGUUCAAGAUGAACUUAGAAGUUUUAAAAUUAUGGUUUCAUGGUGUGCUAGUUUGGUCAAUUCCCAAUACUUUCGAAAUUAUUGAAUAUUAAACUUUCAAAGUAUCUAUUUGGUUUAUAAAUUGUUGGUUUGUUGAAGAAUCAUUGCUAAAAUUUUUAUUGAUAUAUUAUAUGUGCUUAUAAAAACAAGUAAUGGAAGAAAAAAAAAAGGACUUAAAAUACGGUAAUUUUUUACUAAGCCAAAAGCAUACAAAUUUUAAGAAAAAUUAUUUUAAAAAAGAAGGAAAACCGAAAAAAAAACCGAAACUGAACCGAACCAUGGUUUGGUUUGGUUUCCGGUUCAAGGUCUCAAAAAAUACCAAACCGAACCGAACUGAAUUUUUUAUUCGGUUUGGUUUCCGGUUUUAGGUGAAAACCGAACCGAACAAAACUGAACCCACCCCUACUGAGAACCCAGAAGGGAUGUCCAUGCCACUCUUGCCACUGCCCCCCGACGAGGAAACACUUCUAUCGUCAACUCUCGUUCCUGGAGGUGGGCAAGUCUUCCACCAAAAUCUUGAACUUCCCCCGGGACUUCAAAGUCACGUGAUACAGGUGUAUCCUUUAGCUUUUAGGAAUUAAUGAUUCCUUCUCCAAGUUAGUUAAGUACAUAGUUUUCUAGCUUGAAAAUGAAUAGUUGUCUAACUUAGUUAAUGAGUAGUUUCCAAGUUAGAUAAGGAUUUAUAGAGUUAGACUCUAUAAAUAGAGGUGCCUAGCUUAGUUCUAGAUACCAGAGUGAAACAGAAACAACAUCUGUUUAGAAGAGAGCGAAUCAGAGAUAGCUAGAGAGUUAUUGUGAGAGAAGGCAUUAGACAAUAGUUAUUGUACCAUUUUGCACAAUAAUAAGAGAGGAAUAUAUUUCCUUCGACCUACGUUACUUGAGUGUUUUAGUACUACUAAUAUUUCCGCUACUAGUAGUAACACUUGAGUAAUUCGUAUCAUCACGCAACCCCAACUACCCUUCUUCGCGCAAUAUGCCAUGUGCCAACAAGCGUUGAACUCCUCAAAAUCGGGGAACUCUUGUCCAAGUAAAUGAAAUAGCACUCAUGUCCCCAAGAUUUGUCUCAACAUGUUCGGGGUAACUUGUCCCGGGGCAAUGUACAGACCUCCCAGGGUGUAUUGCACAAACGGAGGUAGCUGGAACAUCAACCCUCAUCUUAAUUGAUACUCAUACACCAACGUAAAGUUGUCCAGGGGAUCCCAAAAAUUAAUGCCCUUGGAAAGAGGUCGUAACAAGACCUCAUCCGGAAUACUUCAAUUCUGCCUAAGUGCUUUUAGCUCUGACGGUGUCAUACUCUCGCCAAGACGAUCCCAGAAUGAGUCGUCAGCCUCCCAAGAUCUCGCCAUACUAAGAGAGGGUCAGACGAGGACACGUGAGACCUAGCAUUCGUAACAGGAAUGCCCUCCCCUAAAUCAAGUUCAACCUCCGCCAUAAGAUAAUCCAAUUCCUCCUCCCACCGGUGCAAGGUGUCCGAAUCAGGAUCAGGCGAGCUAGAGACAACAACAAUCUUCUCACUGGACACCCACACCGGAUCUGUCAUGCCUUACAUCCUCACAUGUUAAACUCUCGCUAUCUUAACCCUAACUAACCCGACAGCAAACCAACCAAUCCCUUACUCUAGACUCUCCUAGCAAAAUCGCAAACGAUACGAAAACCACAGCACAAUCCCUACUAAUUCGAAACAAAACAAAAGUAGAACCCAGAAUAGGAAUUGACAAGUUCAUACCUCGAAAACUUGGAUAUGUGUAGUGGCAGUGAAGCUGGUUGCAAACAGCCGAGCGCUCGCACACAACCAAUCGAGGAUGAAAUUGGAUGUUCCCCAGGUUCGAUUUCACAGAUCGUCGAAGCACCUCUCCAGAAAUUUGAAACCACUCCUUUAGCCCUAGUCCCUCUGUUUUCGAAAUACAAACUCCCUCCUUCUGUUUCCUCCAGACCUAUUUAUAGACAUCCAAAUUAAUCAUGACCGUCCAGAUCUUCCCCAUCUCAAUAGUCAGGAAACAGCCACGUCGACCACGAUCGUACGGGGCAAAUUACGCACAAAAAAAAAAACAAAAACAAAAAAAAAGCCCAAUCAAAGGAACCGUUACGACCUUAAACUCGACAUAAAUGAUCACGUGUCCAUCAUAAACUGGCCAUUUAUGAUACACAUGAGAUAUGGCGAAAAAGGCCCGUAUCGAGCUCUCGGAACAUAACUCUAGAUGUCGAAAAGACUUGAAUAGAGUUCUCGGAACUCAACCCCAGCCACCUCGCGACCCUCGCGUGGGGACUUGGGGACUCGGCACUUGAGAAUAACUCCCCACCCAAGAGCUCUCUCGGACUGGGGACUUGGGGACUUGUUAAUACAUAGCCAAAACACUUGGCCAUGCCAAGAAUAUGGCGUCAUUACCCAGUCGUCGGAGAUCAUUCAGGCCAAGACACCACCAACAAGACCUCUAUAGACACCCAAAGAGUGGAGGCAUAACAACAAUGUGCAUGCCAGACCCACUUUACAACUGCUAAACACCCUCGAAAGGGGGGAGACUGAACAACACCAUGAAACAGUCCCACAUCGGGAACUGAUAACAAAACCCCUAGUGCUAGCCUAUAAAACAGGCACGAAUUUCCAAAAGAGGUAAGUUCACUAUUCCUCCCAUACUCCCGUACUAUACAAGUAGCAACUAAACGCUAACUUAAGCAUCGGAGAGUCGAAGACUAGGCCACCCCAAUCCCGACUCCUGACUUUGUGUUACUUGUGCAGUUACAAGAACCAGAGCCAAGGAUUCGACCUCUGGUUCCGAGAUCCCGAGAAGAGGUAGAAACAAGAAUAUUGCUGAACAUUUCUCCUUUGUUGAAGUAGUAAACUGCGUCCAAGAUUGAUGGCUCGCUUGGGAAAGACAUAUGUACAUUCAAAGCACUUGGUAGUGAUAUGAAAUACAAUUUACAAAAGUUAAAAUUAAAGUAAGACACAUGUUAGAAACAAAAGAGCUUCCAUAAACACAUAAGACUCUACACGUCUGCAUUAUCAAAAACUACACUUGUAACGAAAUAUAAACAAAACUAAUGAUUCCAAGUUUUAUUCACCCUCAAGUUCACAUCUUAAGUUGUAAACUGUAAUGAUAAGGACAAAGGUGUUGACAUCUCAACACAAGCAAUUCUAUGGAUUCAGAAGUCUUGAAUGGCCAAGCCGAAGUAGAACGGGCUGGUAGGGAUUCGUUUUAAUGGGCUACGAAGAUCGAAACCCCUAUCGCGCUUUCGCAUAGUCUAUAGCCCUUUGAAACUCAAUUUUGGUCCCAAUUGCUCACUUGGGCCUAGACACCAUUGAAAGUGCCCCUUACUCAGCUGGAACUUCUCAUAUUUGUGAUGGUCCAACAAGAGCACAAUAUGGGCUGCCCACAACCUGAAGAGGCCUUAAAAAGUACUCACGAAGGGUUAAGGCCCAAAUCGGCUUUUGCGGCCUCUUUGAUUCGACGGUUUUCCAAAUGAGAUACAAACCUGAAAAGAAAUAAAACAAAUAAUCAUUAGUAAUAGUUACUUAAAAAAAAAAAAAGUUAAAUAUUUACAACUUUCAAAGUCCCUGGCAACGACGCCAUUUUGACGGGUGCAAAACCUUCAUCAAAUAAACAUUUGUUAUCGUUAGUAGCAGAAGGUAAAUAAGGGUGUCGUAUAAAACAAAUAUGAAAAGAAAUAAAACAAACAAUCAUUAGUAAAAGUAAUUUAAAAAAAAGUUAAAUAUUUACAACUUUUAAAGUCCUUGGCAACGACGCCAUUUUGACAGGUGUAAAACCUUCAUCAAAUAAACUUUUUUUAUCGUUAGUAGCACAAGGUAAAUAAGGGUGUCGUAUAGGGCCGAGAAUUGAGAGUACCUUGCAAAACAAAACAUUAGUAAAACACAACAAAUAUUAACAAGUAAUAAAACUUUUAAACAAUUUACAAAAGUAAUUGCUGUUCAUUAAAACCUAACCUAUACUAAGAAAAAUAUGAAAAUUUACAGAGACCUACUUGACACACAGAGGAACUACUGUACACAAUUUCAGGGGGAUCAGAGAUCAUUUGGUACGAAAAUAAAAUAAAACAAAACAGGGGACAGAAGAGUGACGAAAAUCCAAAAAACUAUAAGGAAAACAAAAAUCUAAGCUACUAUAUACAUGUGAUCGUCUCUUUGCACACAAGAAAACACUAAAUCAGAUUCAUAUAAUCAAGUUGCUAAGUAAU